AGCUUUGCGCAGUGGCGAUAUUGUAACGAAUGAGGUCCUACCGAAGUGCGAUUAUUGCUAGUUGAGUAUAAGUUGAAAGGGAUAAACUAGAAGAAGUCGAAUUUCAUUAUCUGACGCCUUCUUGAAAUCCAAGAUGGUGG